GACGAACGCUGGCGGCGUGCUUAACACAUGCAAGUCGAACGGAAAGGCCCUGCUUUUGUGGGGUGCUCGAGUGGCGAACGGGUGAGUAACACGUGAGUAACCUGCCCUUGACUUUGGGAUAACUUCAGGAAACUGGGGCUAAUCCCGGAUAGGAGCUCCUGCUGCAUGGUGGGGGUUGGAAAGUUUCGGCGGUAGGGGAUGGACUCGCGGCUUAUCAGCUUGUUGGUGGGGUAGUGGCUUGCCCAGGCUUUGACGGGUAGCCGGCCUGAGAGGGUGGCCGGCCACAUUGGGACUGGGAUACGGCCCAGACUCCUACGGGAGGCAGCGGUGGGGAAUAUUGCACAAUGGGCGGGAGCCUGAUGCAGCAACGCCGCGUGCGGGAUGACGUCCUUCGGGUUGUAAACCGCUUUCGCCUGUGACGAAGCGUGAGUGACGGUAAUGGGUAAAGAAGCACCGGCUAACUACGUG
rnacentral:rRNA from 1 species